rnacentral:misc_RNA from 1 species
AACGCAACUUGCGCCCCUUGGUAUUCCAAAGGGCAUGCCUGUUUGAGUAUCAUGAAAUACCCUCAACGGACUUUUCUUAACGGAGAGGAACGUUGGACUUGGAAUUUGCUGGAUUUCAUUUCAGCUCUUCCUAAAUACAUUAGUGUUGGCACUUCUGGGCUGAACGCUUGCUGGUGUGAUAAUUCAUCAUUCACCGUAGUCAAGAUCGCAGUGAGAGUCCGAUGCUCAUAACUCAAUACCUGGAUUGUCGUCCAAUUAGUGGCGUGCAUGAAUGGAUUAAUGAUAAUUCUGAUCUCAAAUCAGGUAGGACUACCCGCUGAACUUAA